rnacentral:lncRNA from 1 species
UAGGAGGGUUAGUUCUACAAAAGGAAUUAUCUUUGGCAUUUGUUAUUUUAAUCUAUUCUAAUUUUACAAUCUUGUUAUCAAAUGAACACCUUUGUUUUUCUGACUGCCCAAACCAAUUUCACUGAAUGCCAAUACCAAGAUCUGAACACAAGAUUAUAAAAAACAGGAAAUAAAGAAAAACAUAAAUCCACACAAUUACAAGGAGAAGCCUAUUCUGGGAAUAGUCUCCUGUAAAAUUUCCCAUUUUUAUUAAGAUUUCCAUCUCGAGAACGGAUUUGUGUUGUGUGGUUUUCAGUUCUUGUUACCAUCAUUGUCAUAACAGAGGAUGAGCCUAAUUGCAAUGCCUGGGAUGGUCUGUCACUGGUAAUACUGCUCUGACCUUGUGUUAUUCCAGAACCACAAGGAGGCACACAGCUGCUGACCAGAGGAGAUGAAGUACUCUGGAGAGCCGAGGGGUCAUCAGGGCCCAAGUGGCUGCACGAUUUCGCACUGGGGAUUCUAUUCAGCCGUCUAAAUUGCAGCAGGUCCACCUGUCCAAAGAGCAUUAUGGCACACAGCUAUAUGACAUCACUCAGCAUAGCAAAAGUCUUUUUUAGAUUGUUCCAGCCUCUAAGUAAAAAAAGUUAAAAUCCCUGAAGUAGCCACAAGACUGAUAGUAAAAGAAAUUCAAGACAUGGGAGAAACUGAAUUGAAUUUCGAGAAGCUGAAGUGUGCAGUCCUGCAGGAACUCAGCUGUCAAAACCCACAUACAGCAAACCUAACACAGAAAUGUAAGCUUUAUGCAUUUUAAGAUUUAAUCCCCAAACAUCAUUGUAACGAAAUGCAAAGCUUUUUUUUUUUUUUCAUCUCACCUGCCACUGGAACUUCUUACCUCCUUUUUCUUUUACCUUACUCUUUUCCCAAAAGUGAAAUUCACGCAAAACUACACGGCAC